ACUCUUUUAGUAUAAUUAGUACAGUUGACUUCCAAUCACCUAGCUUCAGAAUACCCUGAAAAAGAGUA
rnacentral:tRNA from 1 species